rnacentral:misc_RNA from 1 species
CUGUCUUGGGACGGAUCACCGCUGCAAGAGGGGAAGUUGCUACUGUGAUGAAUUCUGCCAUGUGGCACCAGACUGCCACCCAGACCACAGUGUCCUCUGCAACCCUGCUUCUCAGAUGACCAAGAUGGUGCUGCAGAUGGUGCUGAGGAUGGAGAACCCACCAAGCCCCGCUAGGAGCCACCUAGACUGGAUGCAGAGCAUGAAGGAAGGCAAGAUUUCCUGGGUCCGUGAUGAUGGAAGGCUGACAACUCUUUUAUGGAGUUUGAGCUUGCUCCCAGCAGGGAAGACAAGUUCGAGUUUUUUUCCUGCUUCAAGGAUGGUAGAGAGCAGUCUUCAGCCUGAGACCCAUCCCUAGGCCCCAGCACCCGCAGAGCAGACACUGCGAUGACAACGGACGACACAGAAGUGCCCGCUAUGACUCUAGCACCGGGCCACGCCGCUCUGGAAACUCAAACACUGAGCGCUGAGACCUCUUCUAGGGCCUCAACCCCAGCCGGCCCCGUUCCAGAAGCAGAGACCAGGGGAUCCAAGAGAAUUUCCCCUGCAAGAGAGACCAGGAGUUUCACAAAAACAUCUCCCAACUUCAUGGUGCUGAUCGCCACCUCCGUGGAGACAUCAGCCGCCAGUGGCAGCCCCGAGGGAGCUGGAAUGACCACAGUUCAGACCAUCACAGGCAGUGAUCCCGAGGAAGCCAUCUU